rnacentral:rRNA from 1 species
UGAGGAAUAUUGGUCAAUGGGCGAUAGCCUGAACCAGCCAAGUAGCGUGCAGGAUGACGGCCCUAUGGGUUGUAAACUGCUUUUAUGUGGGGAUAAAGUGCGUGACGUGUCAUGCAUUGCAGGUACCACAUGAAUAAGGACCGGCUAAUUCCGUGCCAGCAGCCGCGGUAAUACGGAAGGUCCGGGCGUUAUCCGGAUUUAUUGGGUUUAAAGGGAGCGUAGGCUGUCUAUUAAGCGUGUUGUGAAAUAUACCGGCUCAACCGGUGGCUUGCAGCGCGAACUGGUCGACUUGAGUAUGCAGGAAGUAGGCGGAAUUCAUGGUGUAGCGGUGAAAUGCUUAGAUAUCAUGACGAACUCCGAUUGCGCAGGCAGCUUACUGUAGCAUAACUGACGCUGAUGCUCGAAAGUGCGGGUAUCAAACAGG